rnacentral:rRNA from 1 species
AUUGAACGCUGGCGGCAUGCUUUACACAUGCAAGUCGGACGGCAGCACAGAGAAGCUUGCUUCUUGGGUGGCGAGUGGCGAACGGGUGAGUAAUAUAUCGGAACGUACCGAGUAAUGGGGGAUAACUAAUCGAAAGAUUAGCUAAUACCGCAUAUUCUCUGAGGAGGAAAGCAGGGGACCUUCGGGCCUUGCGUUAUUCGAGCGGCCGAUAUCUGAUUAGCUAGUUGGUGGGGUAAAGGCCUACCAAGGCGACGAUCAGUAGCGGGUCUGAGAGGAUGAUCCGCCACACUGGGACUGAGACACGGCCCAGACUCCUACGGGAGGCAGCAGUGGGGAAUUUUGGACAAUGGGCGCAAGCCUGAUCCAGCCAUGCCCCGUGUCUGAAGAAGGCCUUCGGGUUGUAAAGGACUUUUGUCAGGGAAGAAAAGGCUGUUGCUAAUACCGACAGCUGAUGACGGUACCUGAAGAAUAAGCACCGGCUAACUACGUG